rnacentral:rRNA from 1 species
CGUAGGCAGCGAGCGUUGUUCGGAGUUACUGGGCGUAAAGGGUGUGUAGGCGGUUGUUUAAGUUUGGUGUGAAAUCUCCCGGCUCAACUGGGAGGGUGCGCCGAAUACUGAAUGACUUGGAGUGCGGGAGAGGAAAGUGGAAUUCCUGGUGUAGCGGUGAAAUGCGUAGAUAUCAGGAGGAACACCGGUGGUGUAGACGGCUUUCUGGACCGUAACUGACGCUGAGACACGAAAGCGUGGGUAGCAAACAGGAUUAGAUACCCUGGUAGUCCACGCCCUAAACGAUGCAUAUUUGGUGUGGGCAGUUCAUUCUGUCCGUGCCGGAGCUAACGCGUUAAAUAUGCCGCCUAGGGAGUACAGUCGCAAGGCUG